CCUACGGGGGGCAGCAGUGGGGAAUAUUGGGCAAUGGGCGCAAGCCUGACCCAGCAAAGCCGCGUGAAGGAAGAAGGCUUUCGGGUUGUAAACUUCUUUUCUCAGGGACGAAGCAAGUGACGGUACCUGAGGAAUAAGCCACGGCUAACUACGUGCAAGCAGCCGCGGUAAUACGUAGGUGGCAAGCGUUAUCCGGAUUUACGCGGUGUAAAGGGCGUGUAGGCGGGGACGCAAGCCAGAUGUGAAAACCACGGGCUCAACCUGUGGCCUGCAUUCGAAACUGUGUUUGUUGAGUACUGGAGAGGCAGACGGAAUUCCUAGUGUAGCGGUGAAAUGCUUAGAUAUUAGGAGGAACCCCAGUGGCGAAGGCGGUCUGCUGGACAGCAACUGACGCUGAUGCGCGAAAGCGUGGGGAGCGAACAGGAUUAGAUACCCUUGUAGUC
rnacentral:rRNA from 1 species